GUACUAUUAGCUCAGUUGGUAGAGCAGCAGACUCUUAAUCUGAUGGUCCGGGGUUCGACCCCCCGAUGGUGCA
rnacentral:tRNA from 2 species